rnacentral:rRNA from 1 species
UACAGAGGUGGCAAGCGUUGUUCGGAAUUGCUGGGCGUAAAGGGCGCGUAGGCGGUUCGUCAAGUCCUGUGUGAAAUCCCCCGGCUCAACUGGGGAACUGCACAGGAAACUAGCGGGCUUGAGUUCGGGAGAGGGAAGCGGAAUUCCGGGUGUAGCGGUGAAAUGCGUAGAUAUCCGGGGGAACACCGGUGGCGAAGGCGGCUUCCUGGACCGACACUGACGCUGAGGCGCGAAAGCUAGGGGAGCAAACGGG